ensembl:lncRNA
GUGGAGUUAUAUGCACGUUAAAGUUGACUGCGAUUCGCCAACAGAAUCCUAUAUAAAAGAAGAAUAAGAUCACGCUCUUUCGUGACGUAGUUAUGUGAAACACCUCGGAAUUUCAUGGCAAACUGAGCUCCCCCAAUAAUUUCGGGAAACUUUCCAGUCGUGGGGCAAGUCUUCAAUGAACAAGAGGCCAGCUGUAUUUGGUUAGAAGAUGGUGCUGUUGAAGGUCUUGUCUCUCCGGUACCAGAGACAGGAAGACAAGAGGUAUCAAAGCCCCUCCGUCAAACUGAAGACACUGUCCCGUGGCCAGUAUGGCUUAUAAAACAGGAGGAGGAAGAUGACGAUGAUCUGGACUUACAAGGUGACAGGAAGUGGAAACCAGAGUCGGCAGAACCGAAUGUCACAGGAGAAAGCGACGGAGAAGACAGAGGUCAAGUCUUUGGUGGAUCUAGUGGACUUGAGGACUUCAAAAGAGAAUUUCAAGAGAGUCCGUUGCUGGAGUCUGUUGAGGACACAGCAUCACCUAUAAAGAGACACGUUAGACAAAUGUUAAAACACGCUGGAUCAACAUAUUUUAGCUGCAAUCUCUGUGAUGAGAAAUUCCAGGGCCAGAGUGGCUUGGCCAGACACCGGCGCCACAAACAUGACCUGGUGAAAGCCUACUGUUGCUCUGUGUGCGGGAAAGGCUUCACCUACAUCAAAUCCCUGAACUCUCAUGAGCUCUCUCAUUCUGAGGUGAUCUCUUCAGCUGUACCUGUGGAUGAAACCAGGGCAAGGAAAAUCAAUCUGACAGAUGAACCCACAGACGGGAAUGCCGCAAGAGACAUGAUUAGUGCCAUCCUUCACUCAAAGCCAGGUGGAGAAAAGGUCUUCCAGGAAUAUGCAAACUCCAAAGGUCUAACAGAUAGCACGCGGAGACUGAUGGUGAACAUAAUUGUGGCCGAUAUGAUGGAAAAUCAUGGGAGGACCCCACCAUCAAGUGUCCGCACCAACUACGCCUUGGGGAUUGUGACUUUAUUUCCUUACUUGAGUGAUCCAAAUUCUGAGCAUGGAUAUGAACAAUAUUAUGAUUCAGCUAGUGGGUCUGGCUACCUGACCUGGAGGAUAAAGACAGUGGGUCGCAACAAAUUAUGUAAGACCAAGAAGAAAACCUAUCAGAAUGGUUCAAAGACUCAACGACAUUCCUCAUCAGCUGUUGAGCCACUAUUGGAUGAACAGGUCAGUUCAGUGGGCUCCGAUUGCUCUGGUUCAGCUGUACAUCUGGAUGAAACAAGGUCAAGGAAACGGCGUCGGGCUGAUGAACCCACAGACAGGAAUGUUGCAAGAGAUAUGAUCAGCGCCAUCCUUCACUCAAAACCAGGUGGUGAAAUGGUAUUUCAGGAGUAUAUGAAAACCAAAGGUCUUACGGAAAGCACGCGGAGACUGAUGGUGAACAUUAUUGUGGCAGAUAUGAUGGAAAAUCACGGGAGGACGCCCCCAUCAAGUGUCCGCGCCAACUACGCCUUGGGGAUUGUGACAUUAUUUCCCUAUUUGAGGGAUCCACAUUCUGAGCAUGGAUAUGAAAAAUAUUAUGAUGCAGCUAGUGGGUCUGGCUACCUGACCUGGAGGAUAAAGACAGUGGGUCGCAACACAUCAUGUAAGACCAAGAAGAAAACCAAGUCCACUUAUCAAAAUGGCCCAAAGGUUCUGCGAAGUUCUGUUUUACCUGUUGGGCAACUGUCAGGUGAUGAAUGUGUAGAAGCAAUAUCCCAGCUGAAGCAUACAAAUGACAAGGCACUGGUGAAAGAGAAAAUGAAGAUGACGUUCCAAUAUAGACAGGCGAUGAUUCAUGAUCCGGAGAAGCCCUCAACUGUCCUUAAUGUCUUCCCAAGAUUCCUUGACACUCCAGGCUUGAUCAAUCAAGAUUUCACCAUGCUUUUUGGAGAGGUUGUGUCUGGAACGUUCCUGGAAAAGUGGCCAACAUUCUUCAAACCCAGGGUGAUAGCAGAUUGCAAAACCCUUCCUUCCAGUGAACUGGUUGAACACCUCCUGUCAUCUGCACAACAGGAACCGAAUGAUUAUGGAUGGGAGAGUGACCUUGCAUCCAUUUUGUUGCUCCUGCAUCUUUUACCCCCCACCUCAAAAGGCCCAAAGACUGCAAAGAUCCGUACCUCUCAAGCUGCUGACCAUCUGGUUAGAUUUCUAAAGGCGGGGACAAACAUGGCGACCUUUCUAAAGGAUGUUGGAUGUGACCAGCAGCCCUUCCUCCUUUGCGUUGGUGAACGGAAGAACAUACUCCAGAAGUUCUACGUAGUUGUCGACCAGAAGGCCAUCCCAUGCCAGGCUGAAACAUCACUAGCAGCUUUUGAUGAGCUCUUUAAGGCACAUUAUGUCUUCAGUGUGACGUAUCAUGAAGCUUUGUGCAACUUCUACACAUUCAUCCAAACCACUAUUUACAGUAUCGAUGUGGGAAAGGCAAAAGAAUCCUCAAGAGUCAAGGAGAUUAGAGUUAGGCUGCUCAAUAAAAACACUUAAAGGACAUCCAACAAUGUUUUUAUUUAUACAUAAUAUCACUGUAGUUGUGUAUUGAGAAGUUUCAUGAUUUUAAAUAAAAAAUGAAUUUGGGCUGCAAUGGUUCUAAAAAUUAUUUUAAAAAAAGUAUUAAAUGAUAAGGUGUUUAACUGCUUUGAUUGCCAUCUUCCGGAC